UCUUUACAAAGCAAUCACGUUUCACAUAUUCUCUCACAAAGAUUUAACAAAAGUGAAUUCUAAAGCUUAUUUGUUUGGAUCUGGAGACUUCUCUAGUUGUUCUUGUGUAGUUUAGAUGGUGUCAUGCAUAUGCAGGAAGAGGAUUUUUUCACUGCAGAUUCAUUUGUGAAAACUGUCACUGACACAUUAAGCUGCAGAUAUUUCUGUCAUUUGGGUGUCGACGCUGAGACAUUCACACUGCAGCACGUUUUAUGAUUGCAGAAAUCAGUAUGGCGACAUCACUCAUUACGUCACUUCCUCUGAUGUUCGUGAUCAUGACUGCGGGGGGUGAUGGUCAGCAGGAUUGGGGAGUGAAUUACAGCCCUUCAUAUGUUUGUGCAUUAAAGGGAUCAACAGUGAAAAUAUCCUGUGUUUUAAACUAUCCACAUGAUCUUGAGGUCAGAACAGUCUUCUGGAUCAAACCUACUGUAACUGAUGGAGAUCCACCGAACCUGUGUUUAGACUCAGAAA